CCUACGGGAGGCAGCAGUGGGGAAUAUUGCACAAUGGGGGAAACCCUGAUGCAGCGACGCCGCGUGAGUGAAGAAGUAUUUCGGUAUGUAAAGCUCUAUCAGCAGGGAAGAAAAUGACGGUACCUGACUAAGAAGCCCCGGCUAACUACGUGCCAGCAGCCGCGGUAAUACGUAGGAGGCAAGCGUUAUCCGGAUUUACUGGGUGUAAAGGGAGCGUAGACGGCUGCGCAAGUCUGAAGUGAAAGCCCGGGGCUCAACCCCGGGACUGCUUUGGAAACUGUGUAGCUA
rnacentral:rRNA from 1 species